rnacentral:rRNA from 1 species
AGCGUGGAGACAGGUGGUGCAUGGCUGUCGUCAGCUCGUGUCGUGAGAUGUUGGGUUAAGUCCCGCAACGAGCGCAACCCUCACCCCUUGUUGCUACCAGGUAAAGCUGGGCACUCUAGGGGAACUGCCCCGGUCAACGGGGAGGGAGGCGGGGGUGACGUCAAGUCAUCAUGCCCCUUACGUCCUGGGCUACACACGUGCUACAAUGGCCGGUACAAAGGGAUGCCACACCGCGAGGUAGAGCUAAACCCAAAAAGCCGGUCUAAGUUCAGAUUGGAGUCUGCAACUCGACUCCAUGAAGGAGGAAUCGCUAGUAAUCGCGUGUCAGCACGACGCGGUGAAUACGUUCCCGGGCCUUGUACACACCGCCCGUCACACCACGAAAGCCAGCUGUACUCGAAGUCGCUGAG